GGCGAACGUCGUGGUGAUUUGGCCGGUCGGCUUGCAGCCACGUUAAACAACUCGCUAAAGGGCCGAUUGCGGAUCGUA
rnacentral:ncRNA from 2 species